GAUUAAUUUAGAAAAUGAACAAUAAUAUUACAUUUUCAUGCAUCACGUAGUCAUUUUUCAAUUUGUAAGAGCUUUUCUUAAUGCGUUGGUUCAACCUGUGUGAUGCAUACAUUAUAUGGUUAGUGAUAAUUAAAUAUUAUAAUCGUAGCUAAAUUACAAUUGUUGCAUUGCACUCUUGUCAUCUCUAUUCUUAAUUCAUAACCCUCUCAGUAACUAUGUGCCCAAUUAGUGCACCUCCUUUUUUAUUUGGAAUUUUUCUCAUUUCCUGGGAAAGGAAAUAGUAACAUUUCAAGAAUAUACGCUUAAUUAAUAAAUUACAACGCUUUCCUAAUUUUGAAGAAAAAAACUCGAUAAAAUCAUUCAAGGACCAGCCAGUUAACCAACAAAAUCAAGUAGUUUGUUAACCAGCGAAAUUGGCGAGUUCACAAUGAAAAUUAGUUAGUUACAAAACUGGCCGGUACACCCCCAGAACUGGUCAUUACAGUUGGAUACCACCUAAUUUUGUUGGGGCAGGCUUAAUUUUGUACCAGAAUUCAGUCUAAAGAUGUACACCUAGAGUUGAGUUACCAGGCAUUUGAUCAAACUGAGAAUUCGUAAUAAAGUGUAAAGAUUUUUUUCUGCUAUACUUUCUUGUCAAUGUUUUAAAAACCGACCCCCCAACCAAAAAUAAGUUAGGGAUGAAUCUUGAGUCUGGUGGUGGUCGUAGAUGUGAGUUAGGGAUGAAUCUUGAGUCUCCGUCGAGUUGCCUCCAAAAAAAUCCUCAAGUUUAGGCUGUGGCUGCAUGUUUUGGUGCAUAUAUGGGUCCAUGUAGCUAGUGAAAUUGAUGGAGUUGUUUUCUUUCAGUUUAAAGCUUAUAUUAGGUAAUUUUAGCUCAUUAAUGUAUUUCCUCAUAUCAGAAUAAAAUAAAAGCAUAUUCAGAGACGAUUUCCUCUCCAAGCAAACACUCACUUGAAGGUGAUAGUGUUGCAAAAGUACUUGGUCCAGAACGUCCAGGACGGGUAAGAGGUCAUGGUUUCGGUGCGACUCCUUCAAAGUUGAAUGCUUUGGUGCACAAUCAUAACUUGCAAACUCAAGUUCAAGAGUUGAGGGAUGAAAUUAAAGAACUAAAAGCUUUGUUUCAAGUGAAGAGUAAAAGUGCUGAACAAGAAGAUAAUGUAAGUGGAAAUCUAGAAUCAAUGAAUGUUAUUUUAAAUUACAUAUAUUUUCUAUAUUCAAAAUAAUAAAUUGUACAACUGGAUAUUAAUUUUAUAGUCUAGAGACAGAAGCUUGAAUGGUUUAGAUAACCUUCAAAAUAAGAAGUGCAAAUUGUUAUCUUGGUUUAGGAAAGCUAAUAUUGUUGCAAAAGGUGAAAUUGCAUCAACAAAUUCAAAUGAUCUACUGCAUCAUGUACCCCUUGGUAAUGAAUGUUGGAGAGUUUGGGUUAAUGAAGUGAUCAAUAAUGUUAGCUUAUAUCGUCCCACGCGUGAGCUUUUUCUUCUAGAAGAUGCAUUAGGAAGUACAAUUGCAUGGCCAAGUAGGUAUAUCGAAGUGGAUUCGCUGUAAUCACAACGAAGGUAUGCUUAACUUCUUUUCUAUUUUAAUUCCAUUUCCCUUUAUGUUCGGUCUCUAUUGAAGAUUGUGUUGUUUAAUAUAUUUUUGAUUUGGAUGCUUAUUAAUUAUAUCCUUAUUAUUUUCGUGGUGUGCAGAGGAUCCAUAUUUUGUGGGGUAGCUAAAUUGUCGGUCAAAGAAGUGAACUUUGAUAGGUUUAAUAAUUUUUUGUUAUAUGACGGAACCUCAAUAUCCACGGGUUUAUUAGUUGAAUGGCGAUUGGCGCAUACAAUAGUAGUCGAAUAUUUUUUAAAAUUGUUUAGAUGAAUUUUACAUUGGCAUAUUGUAUUGAACCGUAGUCAAUAUUUCUUUUUAUCGAAAUAAUGGAAAACUUGAUUAUAU
rnacentral:lncRNA from 1 species